GGGGAUGUGGUGUAGUGGUAUCACGUUCGUUUCGCAUACGAAAGGCCUCGAGUUCAAUCCUCGACGUCUCCA